rnacentral:rRNA from 1 species
GACGAACGCUGGCGGCGUGCCUAAUACAUGCAAGUAGAACGCUGAAGGAGGAGCUUGCUUCUCUGGAUGAGUUGCGAACGGGUGAGUAACGCGUAGGUAACCUGCCUGGUAGCGGGGGAUAACUAUUGGAAACGAUAGCUAAUACCGCAUAAUAGUAGAUGUUGCAUGACAUUUGCUUAAAAGGUGCAAUUGCAUCACUACCAGAUGGACCUGCGUUGUAUUAGCUAGUUGGUGAGGUAACGGCUCACCAAGGCAACGAUACAUAGCCGACCUGAGAGGGUGAUCGGCCACACUGGGACUGAGACACGGCCCAGACUCCUACGGGAGGCAGCAGUAGGGAAUCUUCGGCAAUGGACGGAAGUCUGACCGAGCAACGCCGCGGGAGUGAAGAAGGGUUUCGGAUCGUAAAGCUCUGUUGUAAGAGAAGAACGAGUGUGAGAGUGGAAAGUUCACACUGUGACGGUAUCUUACCAGAAAGGGACGGCUAACUACGUG